rnacentral:rRNA from 1 species
GGGUUGUGAGGUUAAGCGACUAAGCGUACACGGUGGAUGCCCUGGCAGUCAGAGGCGAUGAAGGGCGUGCUAAUCUGCGAUAAGCGCCGGUAAGGUGAUAUGAACCGUUAUAACCGGCGAUACCCGAAUGGGGAAACCCAGUGUGAUUCGUCACACUAUCAUUAACUGAAUCCAUAGGUUAAUGAGGCGAACCGGGGGAACUGAAACAUCUAAGUACCCCGAGGAAAAGAAAUCAACCGAGAUUCCCCCAGUAGCGGCGAGCGAACGGGGAGGAGCCCAGAGCCUGAAUCAGCAUGUGUGUUAGUGGAAGCGUCUGGAAAGGCGCGCGAUACAGGGUGACAGCCCCGUACACAAAAGCGCAUGUGCUGUGAGCUCGAUGAGUAGGGCGGGACACGUGGUAUCCUGUCUGAAUAUGGGGGGACCAUCCUCCAAGGCUAAAUACUCCUGACUGACCGAUAGUGAACCAGUACCGUGAGGGAAAGGCGAAAAGAACCCCGGCGAGGGGAGUGAAAAAGAACCUGAAACCGUGUACGUACAAGCAGUGGGAGCACCCUUUGGGUGUGACUGCGUACCUUUUGUAUAAUGGGUCAGCGACUUAUAUUCUGUAGCAAGGUUAACCGAAUAGGGGAGCCGGAGGGAAACCGAGUCUUAACCGGGCGUUAAGUUGCAGGGUAUAGACCCGAAACCCGGUGAUCUAGCCAUGGGCAGGUUGAAGGUUGGGUAACACUAACUGGAGGACCGAACCGACUAAUGUUGAAAAAUUAGCGGAUGACCUGUGGCUGGGGGUGAAAGGCCAAUCAAACCGGGAGAUAGCUGGUUCUCCCCGAAAGCUAUUUAGGUAGCGCCUCGUGAAUUCAUCUCCGGGGGUAGAGCACUGUUUCGGCUAGGGGGCCAUCCCGGCUUACCAACCCGAUGCAAACUGCGAAUACCGGAGAAUGUUAUCACGGGAGACACACGGCGGGUGCUAACGUCCGUCGUGAAGAGGGAAACAACCCAGACCGCCAGCUAAGGUCCCAAAGUCAUGGUUAAGUGGGAAACGAUGUGGGAAGGCCCAGACAGCCAGGAUGUUGGCUUAGAAGCAGCCAUCAUUUAAAGAAAGCGUAAUAGCUCACUGGUCGAGUCGGCCUGCGCGGAAGAUGUAACGGGGCUAAACCAUGCACCGAAGCUGCGGCAGCGACACUGUGUGUUGUUGGGUAGGGGAGCGUUCUGUAAGCCUGUGAAGGUGUGUCGUGAGGCAUGCUGGAGGUAUCAGAAGUGCGAAUGCUGACAUAAGUAACGAUAAAGCGGGUGAAAAGCCCGCUCGCCGGAAGACCAAGGGUUCCUGUCCAACGUUAAUCGGGGCAGGGUGAGUCGACCCCUAAGGCGAGGCCGAAAGGCGUAGUCGAUGGGAAACGGGUUAAUAUUCCCGUACUUGGUGUUACUGCGAAGGGGGGACGGAGAAGGCUAUGUUGGCCGGGCGACGGUUGUCCCGGUUUAAGCGUGUAGGUGUGUGUUCCAGGUAAAUCCGGUUCACUUUAACACUGAGGCGUGACGACGAGGCACUACGGUGCUGAAGCAACAAAUGCCCUGCUUCCAGGAAAAGCCUCUAAGCAUCAGGUAACAUCAAAUCGUACCCCAAACCGACACAGGUGGUCAGGUAGAGAAUACCAAGGCGCUUGAGAGAACUCGGGUGAAGGAACUAGGCAAAAUGGUGCCGUAACUUCGGGAGAAGGCACGCUGACACGUAGGUGAAGUGAUUUACUCAUGGAGCUGAAGUCAGUCGAAGAUACCAGCUGGCUGCAACUGUUUAUUAAAAACACAGCACUGUGCAAACACGAAAGUGGACGUAUACGGUGUGACGCCUGCCCGGUGCCGGAAGGUUAAUUGAUGGGGUCAGCGCAAGCGAAGCUCCUGAUCGAAGCCCCGGUAAACGGCGGCCGUAACUAUAACGGUCCUAAGGUAGCGAAAUUCCUUGUCGGGUAAGUUCCGACCUGCACGAAUGGCGUAAUGAUGGCCAGGCUGUCUCCACCCGAGACUCAGUGAAAUUGAACUCGCUGUGAAGAUGCAGUGUACCCGCGGCAAGACGGAAAGACCCCGUGAACCUUUACUAUAGCUUGACACUGAACAUUGAGCCUUGAUGUGUAGGAUAGGUGGGAGGCUUUGAAGUGUGGACGCCAGUCUGCAUGGAGCCGACCUUGAAAUACCACCCUUUAAUGUUUGAUGUUCUAACGUGGACCCGUUACCCGGGUUGCGGACAGUGUCUGGUGGGUAGUUUGACUGGGGCGGUCUCCUCCUAAAGAGUAACGGAGGAGCACGAAGGUUGGCUAAUCCUGGUCGGACAUCAGGAGGUUAGUGCAAUGGCAUAAGCCAGCUUGACUGCGAGCGUGACGGCGCGAGCAGGUGCGAAAGCAGGUCAUAGUGAUCCGGUGGUUCUGAAUGGAAGGGCCAUCGCUCAACGGAUAAAAGGUACUCCGGGGAUAACAGGCUGAUACCGCCCAAGAGUUCAUAUCGACGGCGGUGUUUGGCACCUCGAUGUCGGCUCAUCACAUCCUGGGGCUGAAGUAGGUCCCAAGGGUAUGGCUGUUCGCCAUUUAAAGUGGUACGCGAGCUGGGUUUAGAACGUCGUGAGACAGUUCGGUCCCUAUCUGCCGUGGGCGCUGGAGAACUGAGGGGGGCUGCUCCUAGUACGAGAGGACCGGAGUGGACGCAUCACUGGUGUUCGGGUUGUCAUGCCAAUGGCACUGCCCGGUAGCUAAAUGCGGAAGAGAUAAGUGCUGAAAGCAUCUAAGCACGAAACUUGCCCCGAGAUGAGUUCUCCCUGAGACUUAAAGUCUCCUGAA